AAUGAACGUUGGCGGCGUGGAUUAGGCAUGCGAGUCGAGCGAGAACCCCGCAAGGGGGGACAGCGGCGAAAGGGACAGUACUGUGUAGAUUAUCUGCCCUCAGGUCCGGGAUAGCUGCGGGAAACUGCAGGUAAUACCGGAUAACAUCUCCGGAUCAAAGGUGUGAUUCCGCCUGAGGAUGAGUCUGCAUCCUAUUAGCUAGUUGGUGGGGUAAUGGCCUACCAAGGCAUUGAUGGGUAGCAGGUGUGAGAGCACGACCUGCGUCAUUGGGACUGAGACACUGCCCAGACACCUACGGGUGGCUGCAGUCGAGAAUCUUCGGCAAUGGGCGCAAGCCUGACCGAGCGACGCCGCGUGUGGGAUGAAGGCCUUCGGGUUGUAAACCACUGUCAGAGGGGAUGAAAUGCAGGUGGGUUCUCCCAUCUGUUUGACAUAGCCUCAGAGGAAGGACGGGCUAAGUUCGUG
rnacentral:rRNA from 1 species